rnacentral:rRNA from 1 species
UAGGGAAUCUUCGGCAAUGGGGGGAACCCUGACCGAGCAACGCCGCGUGAGUGAAGAAGGUUUUCGGAUCGUAAAGCUCUGUUGUUAAGGAAGAACGAGUGUGAGAAUGGAAAGUUCAUGCUGUGACGGUACUUAACCAGAAAGGGACGGCUAACUACGUGCCAGCAGCCGCGGUAAUACGUAGGUCCCGAGCGUUGUCCGGAUUUAUUGGGCGUAAAGCGAGCGCAGGCGGUUAGAAAAGUCUGAAGUUAAAGGCAGUGGCUCAACCAUUGUAGGCUUUGGAAACGGUUUAACUUGAGUGCAGAAGGGGAGAGUGGAAUUCCAUGUGUAGCGGUGAAAUGCGUAGAUAUAUGGAGGAACACCGGUGGCGAAGGCGACUCUCUGGUCUGUAACUGACGCUGAGGCUCGAAAGCGUGGGUAGCAAACAGG